rnacentral:rRNA from 1 species
CCCCGGUAAACGGCGGCCGUAACUAUAACGGUCCUAAGGUAGCGAAAUUCCUUGUCGGGUAAGUUCCGACCUGCACGAAUGGCGUAAUGAUGGCCAGGCUGUCUCCACCCGAGACUCAGUGAAAUUGAACUCGCUGUGAAGAUGCAGUGUACCCGCGGCAAGACGGAAAGACCCCGUGAACCUUUACUAUAGCUUGACACUGAACAUUGAGCCUUGAUGUGUAGGAUAGGUGGGAGGCUUUGAAGUGUGGACGCCAGUCUGCAUGGAGCCGACCUUGAAAUACCACCCUUUAAUGUUUGAUGUUCUAACGUGGACCCGUAAUCCGGGUUGCGGACAGUGUCUGGUGGGUAGUUUGACUGGGGCGGUCUCCUCCUAAAGAGUAACGGAGGAGCACGAAGGUUGGCUAAUCCUGGUCGGACAUCAGGAGGUUAGUGCAAUGGCAUAAGCCAGCUUGACUGCGAGCGUGACGGCGCGAGCAGGUGCGAAAGCAGGUCAUAGUGAUCCGGUGGUUCUGAAUGGAAGGGCCAUCGCUCAACGGAUAAAAGGUACUCCGGGGAUAACAGGCUGAUACCGCCCAAGAGUUCAUAUCGACGGCGGUGUUUGGCACCUCGAUGUCGGCUCAUCACAUCCUGGGGCUGAAGUAGGUCCCAAGGGUAUGGCUGUUCGCCAUUUAAAGUGGUACGCGAGCUGGGUUUAGAACGUCGUGAGACAGUUCGGUCCCUAUCUGCCGUGGGCGCUGGAGAACUGAGGGGGGCUGCUCCUAGUACGAGAGGACCGGAGUGGACGCAUCACUGGUGUUCGGGUUGUCAUGCCAAUGGCACUGCCCGGUAGCUAAAUGCGGAAGAGAUAAGUGCUGAAAGCAUCUAAGCACGAAACUUGCC